CCCCACCUUGGGCUAAAGAGUGAACUUUGAGCAUUUCUCAUAAUUUGUUUUGAAUUAGUGACUGGAAGAGGGAAACUCUGGUUUGUGAGACACCUGCUGCCCUUUAUGUGUCUAGUUAAAUCAAUAGAAAUUAAUAAUAAUGGUGAUAAUGAUGAUAGGUAGUAUUUACUGAGGUGUACUAAGUGCUAGGAUUGAACCAGAGGCUUUGCAUGCAUUAAUGUACAUGACAAUGAAAGGUAGGUGUUAGUACUAUUAUCAUCCCCAUUUUACAGAUGAGGGAACUGAUGGUCAGAGAGGCUAACUAAAUUGUGCAAGGUCACACACUGCUCCAAAGUGGUGAAGCCAGCAUUCAACACCAGAACUGUCUCUCCAUUCCGUGAGUCCACAGCUCUUGUGUAUCUGUUCAGAGCUUAUUCAUUAGAUAUUCACUAGACUUCAGACAGUAUACAAGUUUGUCAAAUAACAGGAGUUCAAUAUUUAUUGAAUAAAUGAGUGAGUGAAUCAAUGAGUGAAUGAAGCGUUUGAUUUCAGAGCCUGGGAGUUUAACUAGGACAUAUGCCCUUCUAACGGUUACUUCUCUUCGGCUUUGCUCCUUGCCUUAGAAGAGAAGGCAACCAAGGUUCUCAGCAAAAAAACCUCAGAUUCGCUAUGCUAAAUGAUUUGUAAUGAUGACGCAGUUUCUCUUAUGAAGGGAGAACUCUGAAAUGUUAUCAGGAGAGUUAAAGUUGGGGAUCCUGCUAUUGGUUUGUAAACUGGCCCUCAUACAUGGAGGACAAGGAGAGGCUGAAGAAAGAGACAGACCACUCCAGAUUGGUAGAUGGCAAGUUUAAUGAGUAAGGGGGCCUACCUGUGAGACUUGUUUUGGUUGGCCACAAGACAAGUAGAUCUCUAUAUGACCCCAGCCAGAAUUUUAAGAGUUUAUAUAGAGGCCUUGACUGGAUUCAGUCACAUAUACCAUCCAGAUGGUCUCAGCAACACCUUACUCUCUCAAAGCUUCAUCCUUGAAAAUGACUCCGUCUGUGAGACGGCGGGCAGAGUGUACAUUCCAAGGACAGAGGAGGUGGUGAGGAGCCUCCAGUUACCUGGGUCCAGCUCACAGUCAACAGGCGGUCAUGUCCUCUUGAUGACCUCCUCCGACAUGUGCCCAGACAGCACCUAUGGGAAAAGAGUGACUGGACACAUCGUCUCCCCAUGGCCACACAGAUUCAUUCUACAUUUACACCAACUACGUGCCAGGCACUGUGCUUGUGGAUUUUUCACAGACUGAGAGGUAAGGGGAACUAAUUCCUUGCAGACCAGACUUCAGAAAGGGAGUUGGCUUCCUGUAAAGCUUCAGCCUGGUGCUUAAGUCAAUCAAUUUUGGAAGAGUGCCGAGGUGACGGAUCAGGACUGGAGGCCAUAGUUUCCAUUAUUUUCUAUUGCUAUGAUCGCAUAGUUUGGAGCCCAGCCCCUAUGUUGAGGUAAAGCCUGGUGAUUCCCAAUAAUGCAGCUUAAAAUCUUUAUGGCUGAAGCCUGGGAUCUCUUUCUUAGGGUCUGACAUUGGCUCUGCUAGAUUGCUGUGUGGUUCCCCAGAAUGCGGGGGUGUGUGCUGCCCCUGGGGAAACCACACACCUGCUCCUUCUUGUGUCUUUGUGAAUUUCCUCCAAUAAAUGCUGUUCUAGAAGGUCUGGUAUUUGUGUU
rnacentral:lncRNA from 1 species